UGGGGAAUUUGGACAAUGGGCGAAAGCCUGAUCCAGCAAUGCCGCGUGUGUGAAGAAGGCCUUCGGGUUGUAAAGCACUUUUGUCCGGAAAGAAAUCCUUGGCUCUAAUACAGUCGGGGGAUGACGGUACCGGAAGAAUAAGCACCGGCUAACUACGUGCCAGCAGCCGCGGUAAUACGUAGGGUGCAAGCGUUAAUCGGAAUUACUGGGCGUAAAGCGUGCGCAGGCGGUUUGCUAAGACCGAUGUGAAAUCCCCGGGCUCAACCUGGGAACUGCAUUGGUGACUGGCAGGCUAGAGUAUGGCAGAGGGGGGUAGAAUUCCACGUGUAGCAGUGAAAUGCGUAGAGAUGUGGAGGAAUACCGAUGGCGAAGGCAGCCCCCUGGGCCAAUACUGACGCUCAUGCACGAAAGCGUGGGGAGCAAACAGGAUUAGAUACCCUGGUAGUCCACGCCCUAAACGAUGUCAACUAGUUGUUGGGGAUUCAUUUCCUUAGUAACGUAGCUAACGCGUGAAGUUGACCGCCUGGGGAGUACGGUCGCAAGAUUAAAACUCAAAUGAAUUGACGGGGUCAUAGCUG
rnacentral:rRNA from 1 species